AGUGCUGUGCCUAAGAUGGACAGUUAUGACUCAAGAAGACAGCACUUAAACUCAGCUCUCAGUGACUCUGAAGAACAAUAGACUUUGCAUUAAUUAUCUACAGAAUGCCCCACAGGAUCUCUGUCAAAGCCUUUCAUCUCAGCUGAACCAAGCCUUGUGAUCCACAAAGGGCAUUUUGUAACCAUUGUGUGCUCAACCCCUAGUGGGUAUGAUACAUUCCGCCUGGAGAAGGGAGGCCAGAGUGUCAUGGAGAAGAAGAACACACAGCCUCCAAUGACAGAGGCUAGAUUCCUCCUUGGCCCAGUGAAUGAAAGCACUGCUGGAGACUAUUAUUGCCUCUAUUAUAAAGAGUCCAUCUGGUCCCCACGCAGUGAGAACUUGGUGCUGAAGGUAACCAGAGAAGACGUCACCCAGGCUCCUGACCCAGGCUCAACAGUGAACUCAGGUUUGUUCUCAGGUCCCUGGAUUCUAACCAUAGCUGCUCUCCUCUGCCUCAACUUUCCUGGCUUUUUCUUAAACCUAAGGAUCUUUGCUCUUAACUCCUUCAACACAGGUCU